GUGGGCAAAGUGUUCCUGCAAGCGAGUUGGCUUGAAGUUGAGCCGUGGCCCGCUUGGUUGCACGCGAGCGCCAGGUUGGUAGCUGGCGCUUGGGCGCUGAAGAGGCGCUCCCUCGUUGUCCUUGUAUUGUAUCUUCUCUCUAAUUCUCAUCCUCGCACGUUUUAAAAAUCUGAAAUGCCAUCCGUAACCGCCCUCAUAUGGCCAUUUCAGUGGAUCCAGCUCCCAUGCCGUACGGUGUGCCAUUGGGCCACUGACAAAAGGGGACAGGUUUCUAGUGGGCCCACAUGUGGUCGAAUGGCAGGGGAUCCUCGUCCCAUUUCAGUUGCUACAGUGCAUCUCCGCAUGCAACCCCCACCUCGACUUUUCCCUCUCAUUUUCUUCGUCGAAACCAUGUAACAAGCAUCGGGAACCAACACUCUUAUGAUUCCCAUCCAAAACAAUAAGGUGUGCAUGAAGGGUGAUCUCUCGCGUGGUCCACGUCGGAUUUACUAGGAGACAAAACGUUCGCUUCGUCCAGAAGAAAGAGAAAAUAACAGAGAAAGGGAUUGGCCAGCGGCCCAGCUCCCAGUCAGCCAGUCCCCAUCCCCGAUUCCUCUCCCUCUCCCUUUUCCCUCGUCUGCCGCCGCCACUGGCGACCUCGCCGCAGCCGCCGUGACCAUCCACGCCCUCCCCAACGGCCACCCCUUCUCUCCUCCCCUUACCUUCUCCUUACAAUCGGCAACCUCCUCCCCUCUCCCUCGCACCAGAUCGAGCAGCAGGCCGGGAUCCGAAGCAGCCUCAGAUCCGGCACGCCGAAAGCGAUGGUUUCCGUUGAGAACGCCAUGGACAAGGUGCUCUGGCCCGGUUGCUGCAGCCAUGGACAAGGUGCCCUCCCCAUCUCUCUCUUCUCUCUCUGUUGGGUUCGUAUUGGAAGCAAGAUGUGUGCGGAUCGGAUGAAGAAUAGAAGAGGAAGGAUCUUGAGGAAGAGUGAAGAACAAGAUGAUCUCUCUCUCUGUCUCUCUGAUUUGCUUAGGUUAUUUUCAUGUGUUGCACUGGCCAUCUCUCCACGGGAUUGAGCUGACAUGGUCAUGGCACUGACGCAAUUACUCGGUGCAAACCCCUUCUCGUUGCUUGCAAAGGCAGAUCCCACGACCUCACAGAAGUUUUUAGUCUUCACCUGCAUUUGCUUUUGGCUUAAAAUUCAUAUAUAUAUGAGUAGGUGACAGUGAUAUCCUGAAGUGCAGAGUGGCUGGGCUAAUUUACUAAUGAAACUCACUAAUAUAUCCUUGGAUGUCUCCUUGGAUGUCUUGAUCAUGAUAUAACCUCCAAUUAAGCGUGCCUAAAAGAGGCAUCCGUUUCCCUUCCCAUGACAAGAGAAAUUUUCCACCUUUUUCUUGCUGUACAGCACCCCGUGUUUCUUCUUUAGGUAUUAAGGUAGCAGGCAGGACAGAAUUGAGAUGGAGAGAUUGAGGAUGAUUAGUUUUGUGAUUGACUGGUUUGUUCGUUUGGUUAGGAAACGGAACAACAUUCUAUGCAACUUUCAAAGAAUAAACUUUUCCUUAUCUUUAGCGCAUGUAGAGAAGAUCAUAAGCAUGCAAAAACAUGGUCUUGCUUAUUUUACAAUAGUUUCUUUGCGAAUAAAUGAGAUGUGGAAUCUAGAGAAAAUUGAUAUUUUAGUUGUAUAGUAUCGCGGGAAAAUCAUAACACGGCCGUCUUCAUCGGGGAUGGGCACGGUGAGAAGUGGCAACGCGUGAGCAUAUGUUUGGCAAGGAAGGUGAUCCACAUGCCAUCUGCUGCAAGGUUGUGAUAACGUCGAGUUCGUGUUACCCAAAGCACACAGCGCAAGCGGGACAAGCUGUAACAGCUAGUGUUCUUCCCUGUCGGUCCUGAGUUCCUGGAGUUGCUGAAGAAUUUGAUAUAAGUCAAGGUUAAAAUUUGAACAGGAUAGGUGUCUACACCACGAAAGAAAAUGAAGAUAUAUACUUGCAUUAGAUGAAAGUGGCACAACAACAACAAUACAUAACAGAAACAUAGUGUAUCAAGAAGCGUCGGCUGCCUGUAGGAGAUAUUUUGCCCUGCAGUUUCAGUUUGAGAUGAACUUUACAGAGACAUCUAAUCAUUUCCCACCAGUGCAUGUUUUGAAAAAAAAGCUGAGUGUCGCUGAUGCAAAUAAGUCAACAGUCUAGAUGCAUUUAUGGAAUUACAACUAUUGCUGGUGGGAAAUCAAGCAGAGGAGGGCAUGUUGGUGGACCAAGUGACGAUGCAAAAUUUGCUACUGAUUUUGAAGUCCAUUACAUUGCCAGUCGUUGCUCCCUUUUGGUGAUUGACAGAGGAAAUCAAGCUAUUAGGGAGAUUCAGCUCAACUUAGAUGACCGUGUGUACCAGUAUGAAGCUGGUUUUCCUAUAGGUAUGUAUUGUGCAAUUAUUAUAUGCCCUGAGGGUUCAUUUCACUAGGUUGUUCCCUCACUAGAUCAUCCUAAUAAUGUUGAAGCACUGACAUUCUUAUUUCUUGUUGUCUUGUACAUAUCACUAGAAUUCAGUAUUGUGCCAAGCCGGUGAGAAGCUGACUUUAGCACAUGCUAUCUUAAUUUUUGUCAUACAUCAGCAGUUACUAGAUUUGUGCCAUGUACUUCCUCCUGAUCCUGCAGUACUAUUUUUUAGGCAAACCCACACUACUAAAUAAUAUGUAUAUGAGUAUAUCAUAUAUGGGCUCAUUUCA